rnacentral:rRNA from 1 species
AUGCUUAGUGGAAUUGGCUUGGACUCAGAAAUCAAGAUGCUUGAUGACACAAACAAAUUAUCCAAGUGUGUCCAGAUUGCACGACUAUAUUUGGAGGAUGAUGACGCAGUGAAUGCGGAAGCUUUUAUCAACAAAGCCUCGUUUUUGGUCACAAACAGCAACCAGGAAGUUCUGAACUUACAAUACAAGGUCUGCUAUGGGAGAAUUUUAGAUCUAAAAAGCUGCACUUCAAUAUUGUGUUAUCUCUCAAAUUGA